rnacentral:rRNA from 1 species
GAUGAACGCUGGCGGCGUGCCUAAUACAUGCAAGUCGAACGCAUUGUGGUUGAAAUGAUAUGAAGAACUUGUUCAGAUUUGAUUUUCAACAUUGCAAUGAGUGGCGAACGGGUGAGUAACACGUGGGAAACCUACCUCUUAGCAGGGGAUAACAUUUGGAAACAAAUGCUAAUACCGUAUAAUAAUUAAAACCGCAUGGUUUUAGUUUAAAAGAUGGUCUUGCUAUCACUAAGAGAUGGUCCCGCGGUGUAUUAGUUAGUUGGUGAGGUAAUGGCUCACCAAGACAAUGAUACAUAGCCGAGUUGAGAGACUGACCGGCCACAAUGGGACUGAGACACGGCCCAUACUCCUACGGGAGGCAGCAGUAGGGAAUCUUCCACAAUGGACGAAAGUCUGAUGGAGCAAACGCCGCGUGUGUGAUGAAGGGUUUCGGCUCGUAAAACACUGUUGUAAGAGAAGAAU